rnacentral:rRNA from 1 species
GGCUCAGGAUGAACGCUGGCGGCAGGCUUAAUACAUGCAAGUCGAACGGUAAGGCCGAGCGUAGCAAUACGCGAGGUACACGAGUGGCGCACGGGUGCGUAACGCGUAUGCAACCUGCCCCCCAACCGGGACAAAACAGCUGGAAACGGCUGCUAAUAUCCCAUGGCUACAGGGAGUGGCAUCAUUUCCUGUAUAAAGAUUCAUUGGUUGGGGAUGGGCAUGCGUAUUAUUAGGUAGUUGGCGGGUAACGGCCACCAAGCCGACGAUGAUUAGGGGUUCUGAGAGGAAAGACCCCCACACUGGAACUGAGACACGGUCCAGACUCCUACGGGAGGCAGCAGUAGGGAAUAUUGGGCAAUGGAGGCAACUCUGACCCAGCCAAUGCCGCGUGAAGGAAUAAGGCCCUAUGGGUCGUAAACUUCUUUUACCGCAGAGUAAACCCGGCCACGUGUGGCCGGUUGAGAGUAUGCGGGGAAUAAGUAUCGGCUAACUCCGUGCCAGCCGCGGC